rnacentral:rRNA from 1 species
CUGCAUGUACCGUAUGAAUAAGCAUCGGCUAACUCCGUGCCAGCAGCCGCGGUAAUACGGAGGAUGCGAGCGUUAUCCGGAUUUAUUGGGUUUAAAGGGUGCGUAGGCGGCCUGUUAAGUCAGCGGUGAAAUCUAGGAGCUUAACUCCUAAAUUGCCAUUGAUACUGGCGGGCUUGAGUGUAGAUGAGGUAGGCGGAAUGCGUGGUGUAGCGGUGGAAUGCAUAGAUAUCACGCAGAACUCCGAUUGCGAAGGCAGCUUACUAAGGUACAACUGACGCUGAAGCACGAAAGCGUGGGUAUCAAACAGGAUUAGAUACCCUGGUAGUCCACGCAGUAAACGAUGAUAACUGGGCGUAUGCGAUAUACAGUAUGCUCCUAAGCGAAAGCGUUAAGUUAUCCACCUGGGGAGUACGCCGGCAACGGUGAAACUCAAAGGAAUUGACGGGGGCCCGCACAAGCGGAGGAACAUGUGGUUUAAUUCGAUGAUACGCGAGGAACCUUACCCGGGAUUGAAAUGUAGAUGACCGCUCCUGAAAGGGAGUUUUCCUUCGGGACAUCUAUGUAGGUGCUGCAUGGUUGUCGUCAGCUCGUGCCGUGAGGUGUCGGCUUAAGUGCCAUAACGAGCGCAACCCCUGUCUACGGUUGCCAUCAGGUAAUGCUGGGAACUCCGUAGAGACUGCCGUCGUAAGGCGUGAGGAAGGUGGGGAUGACGUCAAAUCAGCACGGCCCUUACAUCCGGGGCGACACACGUGUUACAAUGGUAAGGACAAAGGGCAGCUACCUGGCGACAGGAUGCGAAUCUCUAAACCUUAUCACAGUUCGGAUCGGAGUCUGCAACUCGACUCCGUGAAGCUGGAUUCGCUAGUAAUCGCGCAUCAGCCAUGGCGCGGUGAAUACGUUCCCGGGCCUUGUACACACCGCCCGUCAAGCCAUGGGAGUCUGGAGUACCUAAAGUCCGUAACCGCGAGGGUCGGCCUAGGGUAAUACAGGUGACUGGGGCUAAGUCGUAACAAGGUAGCCGUACCGGAAGGUGCGGCUG